rnacentral:rRNA from 1 species
UGGAGCCUGCGGUUUAAUUGGAUUCAACGCCGGAAAUCUCACCGGGGGCGACAGCAAUAUGAAGGUCAGGCUGAAGACCUUACCCGAUUAGCUGAGAGGUGGUGCAUGGCCGUCGUCAGUUCGUACUGUGAAGCAUCCUGUUAAGUCAGGCAACGAGCGAGACCCACGUCCACAGUUGCCAGCAUACCCUCCGGGGUGAUGGGUACACUGUGGAGACCGCCGCUGCUAAAGCGGAGGAAGGAGUGGGCAACGGUAGGUCAGUAUGCCCCGAAUCUCCCGGGCUACACGCGGGCUACAAUGGUUGGUACAAUGGGCAUCUACCCCGAAAGGGGAAGGAAAUCUCUUAAAGCCAAUCGUAGUUCGGAUUGAGGGCUGCAACUCGCCCUCAUGAAGCUGGAAUCCGUAGUAAUCGCGUUUCAACAGAACGCGGUGAAUACGUCCCUGCUCCUU